rnacentral:rRNA from 1 species
CCUACGGGGCGCAGCAGUGAGGAAUAUUGGUCAAUGGGCGGAAGCCUGAACCAGCCAAGUCGCGUGAGGGAAUAAGGCCCUACGGGUCGUAAACUUCUGUCCUUGGGGAAGAAGAACUGACGGUACCCAAGGAGGAAGCCCCGGCUAACUACGUGCCAGCAGCCGCGGUAAUACGUAGGGGGCAAGCGUUAUCCGGAAUUAUUGGGCGUAAAGAGUACGUAGGUGGCAACCUAAGCGCAGGGUUUAAGGCAA